UACGUAGGGUGCGAGCGUUGUCCGGAUUCAUUGGGCGUAAAGAGCUCGUAGGCGGCUUGAUAAGUCGGAUGUGAAACCUCCAGGCUCAACCUGGAGUCGCCAUCCGAUACUGUCAUGGCUAGAGUCCGGUAGGGGCCCACGGAAUUCCUGGUGUAGCGGUGAAAUGCGCAGAUAUCAGGAGGAACACCGGUGGCGAAGGCGGUGGGCUGGGCCGGCACUGACGCUGAGGAGCGAAAGCGUGGGGAGCGAACAGG
rnacentral:rRNA from 1 species